UGCAUUGCAUCAACAAUUUUCCCACUGC
rnacentral:piRNA from 1 species